AAAUGCAGUCCUUGAAUAAUGUAGUAGCCUCUGGGUUAAGACUUUUUCAGUAAGCUCUCAGCUAACAGAAAUUGACCUCAAGGUUUGUUACAUUCAGAACAGCUUAUCAAUCAGUUUGAGCUGUUUAACCAUCCAGUGUUUACCAUUGACAUGUAGACUACUUUAGUACAUCAUUGGAAAGGGAGACUGCAUGAGUUAAAUUUCAAACAAGUUAGUUUUUGAGCCCUGCACAUCUGCUUUUUCCAUACUUUACUAUGUUGCAUUCACAGCAAUUCUAAUAGAAUAGCUAAGACAUUCUUGCAGAGUUCAGCAUUUGACAGCUUAAUCCUACUCCUUAGGUAAAAGAUUUCCAUCUGGUCUCCUGUAUUGUAGAAAAGGUGAUGUGUGUGCUUGGGAGAAACAACAUGGUCUUCAUGGGGAAAAAAAAAAA